AUUGAACGCUGGCGGCAGGCCUAACACAUGCAAGUCGAGCGCGUGGCGGACGGGUGAGUAAUGUCUGGGAAACUGCCUGAUGGAGGGGGAUCACUACUGGAAACGAUAGCUAAUACCGCAUACCCUCAGAUGUGCCCAUAUGGGAUUAGCUAGUGGGUGGGGUAAGGGCUCACCAAGGCGACGAUCCCUCGCUGGUCUGAGAGGAUGACCAGCCACACUGGAACUGAGACACGGCCCAGACGCCUACGGGAGGCAGCAGUGGGGAAUAUUGCACAAUGGGCGCAAGCCUGAUGCAGCCAUGCCGCGUGUAUGAAGAAGGCCUUCGGGUUGUAAAGUACUUUCAGCGGGGAGGCGUUACCCGCAGAAGAAGCACCGGCUAACUCCGUGCCAGCCGCCGCGGUAAUAC
rnacentral:rRNA from 1 species